CUCCCCCGUUGCUGACCCCAGGUUCGAUAGCGCCAAUUAGGCGCACCUCGCCAAGAACCAGCUUCGGUGAAGCGACGGGCGGUGUGUGCAAGGAG
rnacentral:rRNA from 1 species